UACAGAUGCAUCAAAAAACACAGCUAAUAGGGUAGGGAUAGCAUUUAUUAUACCACAGUUUCAUAUUAAGGUAGGAAAAAGGAUUAGUGAUGGCGUUUCAGUAUAUACCGGAGAAAUGAUAGCUUUGCUUUUAGCAGUUCAAUGGGUGGAAGAGGUAAGACCAUUAAAAUCUAUCAUUUGCUCAGAUUCUAGUUCGUCAUUAGUCAGUUUGCAAAAUAAUCAGUCAGACAGUAGACCAGAUAUAUUAAUAGAAAUACAACAAACGCUUUACAGAAUAAAUAUGAUGGGGUUAGUAGUAAAUUUUGUUUGGGUUCCGGCACAUAACGAGAUUAAAGGAAAUAAAAUGGCAGACAGGAUGGCUAAGGAGAUUAUUAAUAAGGUAAAGAUAGAUAUUAAUGUUAGUUUUAGUAUAACAGAAAUAAAGGGUUGCCUAUAAUUAAACAAAAAACAAAAGAGAGGUGGCAAAAGAAAGGAAGAUGGUUUUAUAAAAUCCAAAAGAGAAUUGGACAAAUGAGAAGAACAGAAAGGAAGAGAAGAAAAAAAAUAAUUAUUUCACGACUUAGAAUAGGACACACAGGAUUGAAUAGAUCAUUAUAUUUGAUAGGGAAACAUCAGACAGGGUAGUGUGACUGUGGGAAAGAUGAAACAGUGGAGCAUGUUAUUUUGACUUGUAAUGAAACUUGACAUUGUCGAUUUACUGCAAAAGGAAUCAGGAAACAGAGGAUAUCAGGUUCCAUUUAAGUUUUUGACACAGAUUAAGUUGUAUAAUAGGCUAUAUUUUUUUGUUGGUUUUUUUGUCAUGUGGACCACACACUAUACCAUAGAAGAAGAAGAAUGGUAAACUGUCUGUCAUGGCAAUAUUUCCAAAAAUUGCAGAGCAAUCAAAGUGUCAGCUCAGUGCCAGAACCUCAAACUAUUCAUGACUGAGAGGAUGACAUGAAGAAGUGGCCUCAUAUAACGAACGAGGACAUUUUUAACCAGUUUGUGUCGUCACUUGGUGCAGACGGCUCUGCAGUGCAACUUUACCGAAGCGAACCUCCACAGUGGAAAAGUUGGAUUGGUGUUAAUAAAUAGCAAAAUGGAUGAUAAAAAUGGAUGUUAAAGAGCUAAUAAAAACAUUGGCUUUAAGGCAUUUGUGAAAUAAAAUCUGGUAUAUGAAUAAGGUUUUUAUUUUCUAAUCAACAGAUUAUGCAUCUUUUCAAGAUAAGUAAAAGUCUGAUUUUUUGUUAAUUGAUGCUGCUUAAGGUCAUUAAAGUGUGGGUAAUAUUCUGUCAGCACACCACCUCUUCCUGUCUGUAAGGGUCAGCACACCAUUCUAAUUCAUAGCAGUCUAAUCUUUAAUGGCAGUUUGGAUGUAUAUCAGGAAGGUAAGUAGAAAAUAUUGAUAUUUUAUAGUUAUCACUUUAAACUAUCCAUAUUUGUAUAAAAAUAUUAUGACACCAAGGAAUGUCAUAUAUAUAUAUAUAUAUAUAUAUAUAUAUAUAUAUAUAUAUAUAUAUAAGAAUAACUAACUUUGUUAAAAGCUGCCGUGGCCAAAGGUCUGACUGGAUUGUCCUGAACAGAUGAGCAGCACCGUCCCCAAAAGGCUGAAUGAUGGAUGUGCAGCACAAAUAAUUAAAUGGCCUACAAAUAUCCCUCAAGGGAAGUGUUUUAACUUAGCACUGUUUUACCACUUUAAAAGUGAAAUGUAAUUACAUUUAAUGUAAAGAAAUUGCAUAAAAUUACACAGCUAAAUGUUAGUUUGUAAACUAUAUAUAAAGAUGCAAACCAAGCAUUUAGUUUUCAAAUUAAAUAUUUAACUCCUCUUCGUCUCCUUGAUUUUGUUUUUAAUGGAACUUCGUAGCCCAGCCAUUUUUCUGGCAUUGUGGGUCUUCUGUUGGUCUUUGUCCACAAAAUGAAAAGAACAAAUAUAUAGUCCCUUCUGUGUUUUUUUUUUUUUUCGAUUU